GAUGAACGCUAGCGGCAGGCUUAACACAUGCAAGUCGAGGGGCAGCGCGAUGUAGCAAUACAUUGGCGGCGACCGGCGCACGGGUGCGUAACACGUAUGGAACUUACCCUUUACUGGGAGAUAGCCCGGAGAAAUUCCGGAUUAAUAUCCCAUAAUAAACGAAGUGGCAUCACUUUGUUUGAAAGCUCCGGGCGGUAAAGGAUGGCCAUGCGCACGGAUUAGCUAGUAGGUGAGGUAACGGCUCACCUAGGCUACGAUCGUUAGGGGGCCUGAGAGGGUUAUCCCCCACACUGGUACUGAGACACGGACCAGACUCCUACGGGAGGCAGCAGUGAGGAAUAUUGCGCAAUGGAGGCAACUCUGACGCAGCCAUGCCGCGUGCAGGAAGAAGGCGCUACGCGUUGUAAACUGCUUUUAACCGGGAAGAAACCCUCCGACGUGUCGGAGGUUGACGGUACCGGAGGAAUAAGCACCGGCUAACUUCGUGCCAGCAGCCGCGGUAAAGUGACG
rnacentral:rRNA from 1 species